rnacentral:rRNA from 1 species
AUCGAACGCUAGCGGGAUGCUUUACACAUGCAAGUCGAACGAGAGGCGGACGGGUGAGUAGUAUAUCGGAACGUGCCCAGUAGAGGGGGAUAACUACUCGAAAGCGUGGAAAAUACCGCAUACGAUUGGAGCGGGCGAGUUCGGAUUAGCGAGUUGGUGGGGUAAAGGCUCACCAAGGCAACGAUGCGUAGCUGGGUUGAGAGGACGACCGGCCACACUGGGACUGAGACACGGCCCAGACUCCUACGGGAGGCAGCAGUGGGGAAUUUUGGGCAAUGGGGGAAACCCUGACCCAGCCAUCCCGCGUGUAUGAGAAGGCCUUCGGGUUGUAAAGUACUUUUGGCAGAGAAGCGGUAUCUGCAGAAUAAGCCCCGGCUAACUACGUGCCAGCAGCCGCGGUAAUAC